ensembl:lncRNA
AUGACAGAGGCUUUUACCAUGCAAAGCCCGCAACAGUGUUUUCACUGGGGGUGCUUCUGUUCUGUUCUGUUCGUAAUGCUGCCUGGAUGUUUUCCACAAGCCAGUGAAUUAUACUUCUUGAGCAAUGACCAGUCCAUGUUUGCUGUGUCACAAGCUUGUCUGCAGAGUCAUACAGAGAACAGGAUUCUUCUGGAGCAAAUGUCUUAUCAUGACUGGUUGAUGUUGGGUUUUCAUAAACACCCACCACGUAAUUACAUCUAACCUGCAUUCCCAUCAUCGAUAAAAGUAUGUUUAAACAUUAUUUUUAGAAUGUUGCCUGCUUUUAAUAAUGCAUGUUUUGUAUGCUGUUUAUUUUGUGUGUUGAUAAAGCUUAUUUAUGUUUUUGUUUCAGGUCACUGCAUAAGACAUGGAGAAAAGCAGAAAACGGCCACCCGGUGGUUUUCUCUCUUCAGUCAGCAUUGUGUCUGGCAGGCUAACAUGAGUGGCAUUUCUGUCCCUUAGGGAUGUUUAAAUAUUGUAUAUUGUAUAUACACAGUGUAAAUACUUUUUUAAUAAUUAAAAUAAUUAUUAUAUACUUACGCCUUAUUACAGGCCUAGGGAGUUAAAAAUAUUGUAUAUUGUAUAUAGUGUAAAUAGUUUUAUACUAUAUUUAAAAUAUUUAUUUAACAUCUCUCUACAUAGGACUUAUUACUUUCUUAGGGAUGUUUAAAUAGUGUAUAUAGUUAUACAAUACUGUAAAUUGUUUUUAAUAAAUAACUUUUUUAUUUAAAAAAUCUUUAUAUAUUUAUAAUAUAUUAGAAAUAAAAUAUAUUUAUAGUAAAAAUAUUAAUAGUAUUGCACUGGUUAUGUUAUUGCAUUUAGUUGUGGUGUGUCUUAAAGAGCUUCACAGCACAUUUCCCUGACACAAUGUCAUGUGCGGUGACUGUAAAGAAGCGCACUUUCAUGAGAAAAAAAUAACUUUAAUCAUAAGUCGAACACUCUGGAAAAUCACAGGGAAACAAAACCAUGCAAAAAAUAUAAGAACAGACAAAGGAACUGAGGAAGCACAGCUUAAAAACAUUUUAAUGGUAAAACAGAACAGGUAAAAAGGAACUAAUUACCAAAUAAGGAAACUAAUUGAGAUAUCAGGCAUACAGAGGGAAAAUGAAAGUGCAAAGAAACUGAACGGACAGAGACUGUGACAUGUAAUGACCCAACAGAAUCCUGCAAAGUGAUCACUUCUGUCACUUCUGAAGCUGCUACGGUCCCAGAGCUCUCUAUCAUGGCAACCUCAGUCCCAGAAAAGUCAAGAAAUGUAUUAUAAAUGGUUAAACAAUAAACACACACUCCAAAAUAUUGGGUUAAAAACAUAUUUGGCAACCCAGUGCUGGUUAAAUAUUGGACAGAAGACAUGCUGGAAUAUUUUGACCUAGUUGGCUGGGUUAAGUGUUUAUUUAACUCAACUAUUGUUUAAAAAUUACUUUAUUGCUGGCUUAAAAAGGGGUGGAAACUAGAAAUCAUACACAGAAUUACUAGAGGCAACAGUAAUAAUCAAAAGUAACAUUUUAAUUAAAGUGUGUUCAAUGAUUUUCUCUAAUCCCUUUUCAUUGAAAUAGUAUUUAUUCUCGUGCCAUUGUGUUGCUGAAAUCUGAGCCAGUGAUGGGCUGCUGUUUGGCGGUGUAACUGUAAACAUCAGACCGCCGCCUUGCGUAUCACUCGUAACUGAAAGAUGCUGUGACUGACUCCAUAACCUGCCCAUAAACAAACAUUACUGACAUUAGAGAACAUAUUUUAACAUAAAAAUGAAAUAAAUUCAUUAUCAGUUUAUGUUGUGCAAGGCAAAAUGCAUUUCCAUCAUGCAAUAUGACCAUUGCCCAUUAGCUGACUGACAUCCCAUCGCUGUGUGAUUCUUUUUAAAUAUUUACAGCACAAUAAAGAUUUUAUAGAGCAAAUAAAAUGUACACAAACACAAAUUUCACUGAAGAAGUGCACAAAUUAGGAGACGCUGAGAACCGCUCUCUUCUGAAGAGGAUGCAGAAAGCCUGUGCUCUGACUGUAACUCAACUCUUCUGUGUAUAGUUUCAGCUGUCAGUGAGACUGACCCUGCCACUAGCCCAGUGGCUGGGUAACACAAAAACUACCCAACAGCAACACAACAUAAGACCCAACAGGCUUAACCCAGUUUUUGGGUAGAAAAAAUAACCCAGCAUUUUUUAUUGCAUCACAUCAGCA